rnacentral:rRNA from 1 species
GACGAACGCUGGCGGCGUGCUUAACACAUGCAAGUCGAACGGAAAGGCCCUGCUUUUGUGGGUUGCUCGAGUGUUGAACGGGUGAGUAACACGUGAGUAACCUGCCCUUCACUUUGGGAUUACUUCAGGAAACUGGGUCUAAUACCGGAUAGGAGCUCCUUCUGCAUGGUGGGGGUUGUAAAGCUUCGGCGGUUGGGGAGGGACUCGCGGCUUAUCAGCUUGUUGGUGGGGUAGUGGCUUACCAAGGCUUUGACGGGUAGCCGGACUGAGAGGGUGACCGGCAAGAUUAGGACUGAGAUACGGCACAGACCCAUACGGGACGCAACGGUGGAGAGUAGUACACAAUGGGAGGGAGCCAGAUGCAGCAAAGCGGCGUGGGGGAUGACGGGCAUGAGGUUGUAAAGCGAUUUCGCGUGUGACGAAAAGAGAGUGACGGUAAUGGGUAAAGAAGCACCGGCUAAAUACGUG